rnacentral:rRNA from 1 species
UUGAACGCUGGCGGCCUGCUUUACACAUGCAAGUCGAACGGCAGCGCGGGCUUCGGCCUGGCGGCGAGUGGCGAACGGGUGAGUAAUGCAUCGGAACGUGCCCAGUAGUGGGGGAUAGCCCGGCGAAAGCCGGAUUAAUACCGCAUACGACCUGAGGGUGAAAGCGGGGGACCGAAAGGCCUCGCGCUAUUGGAGCGGCCGAUGUCGGAUUAGCUAGUUGGUGGGGUAAAGGCUUACCAAGGCGACGAUCCGUAGCUGGUCUGAGAGGACGACCAGCCACACUGGGACUGAGACACGGCCCAGACUCCUACGGGAGGCAGCAGUGGGGAAUUUUGGACAAUGGGGGCAACCCUGACCCAGCCAUGCCGCGUGCGGGAAGAAGGCCUUCGGGUUGUAAACCGCUUUUGUUCGGGAAGAAAUCCUCUGGGCUAAUACCCCGGGGGGAUGACGGUACCGGAAGAAUAAGCACCGGCUAACUACGUG